AUGCUGUUCUCUCAGCCUGGGAUGCCCAUGUGCAAGGGAGGACGUAUGGCCAAGGAGAGAGCGUCACAGACCUGGUGGACACAGAGCCCAGUGGAGUGGGGAGAGAUGAAGAGGAGGAAUGGGAACUCACACGGUGACUCAGAAGUGCAGAGGCAUGGAUCAAUGGAGCAGCGAUGGAGGGGGCAUCCGGUCACACACACAUGCAUGCAUAGACAUGCCCAUAAAUGCUUGCAAACAUACGUACACACACAGAGGGAGCAAUCAGAACACACACAUGCAUGCAUGGACAUGCCCACACAUGCUCACACACACACACACAGGGAGCAUCAGAACACACACAUGCAUGGACAAGCCCACACAUGCUCACAUAUGCACACACACAGGGAGCAUCAGAACACACACAUGCAUGCAUGGACAAGCCCACACACGCUCACACACAGGGAGCAUCAGAACACACACAUGCAUGCAUGGACAUGCCCACACAUGCUCACACACGCACACACACAGGGAGCAUCAGAACACACACAUGCAUGCAUGGACAUGCCCACACAUGCUCUCUCACACACACACACAGGGAGCAUCAGAACACACACAUGCAUGCAUGGACAUGCUCACACACACACACACACACACAGGGAGCAUCAGAACACACACAUGCAUGCAUUGACAUGCCCACACAUGCUCACACACACACACACACACACAGGGAGCAUCAGAACACACACAUGCAUGCGUGGACAAGCCCACACACGCUCACACACACACACACACACACAGGGAGCAAUCAGAGCACACACAGAGGAGAGGAUGGGGUUCUCACCCCAGCCCUGGGAGGAGGGGAGUGGUCGUGACCCUGGCCCUGGGAGGAGGGUAGGUGUCGUGACUCCCACACUGGGAGGAGAGGAGGGGGUCGUGACCAGAGCCCUGAGAGGAGUGGAGGAGGUCGUGACCUCAGUCCUGGGAGGAGAGGAGGCUGUGACCUGGCACUGGGAGGCAGCGUGA
rnacentral:lncRNA from 1 species